UACGGAGGGUGCGAGCGUUGUCCGGAAUCACUGGGCGUAAAGGGCGCGUAGGCGGCUUCUCAAGCGUGUGGUGAAAGUCCGGGGCUCAACCCCGGAUCGGCCGUGCGGACUGGGGAGCUCGAGUUCUGUAGAGGCGGGUGGAAUUCCGGGUGUAGCGGUGGAAUGCGUAGAGAUCCGGAAGAACACCGGUGGCGAAGGCGGCCCGCUGGGCAGAGACUGACGCUGAGGCGCGACAGCGUGGGGAGCAACAGGA
rnacentral:rRNA from 1 species